AUUGAACGCUGGCGGCAUGCCUUACACAUGCAAGUCGAACGGCAGCACGGGAGCAAUCCUGGUGGCGAGUGGCGAACGGGUGAGUAAUAUAUCGGAACGUGCCCAGUCGUGGGGAUAACGUAGCGAAAGCUACGCUAAUACCGCCAUACUAUCUAUGGAUGAAAGCGGGGGAUCGCAAGACCUCGCGCGAUUGGAGCGGCCGAUAUCAGAUUAGGUAGUUGGUGAGGUAAAGGCUCACCAAGCCGACGAUCUGUAGCUGGUCUGAGAGGACGACCAGCCACACUGGGACUGAGACACGGUCCAGACUCCUACGGGAGCAGCAGUGGGGAAUUUUUGGACAAUGGACGCAAGUCUGAUCCAGCCAUUCCGCGUGCAGGAUGAAGGCCCUCGGGUUGUAAACUGCUUUUGUACGG
rnacentral:rRNA from 1 species